rnacentral:rRNA from 1 species
UGGGGAAUCUUCCGCAAUGGACGAAAGUCUGACGGAGCAACGCCGCGUGUAUGAUGAAGGUCUUCGGAUUGUAAAGUACUGUCAUUGGGGAAGAACGGUUUUCUUGAAAAGAUUGAGAAGACAUGACGGUACCCAAGGAGGAAGCCCCGGCUAACUACGUGCCAGCAGCCGCGGUAAUACGUAGGGGGGCAAGCGUUGUCCGGAAUUAUUGGGCGUAAAGGGCGCGUAGGCGGGCCUUUAAGUCCGGUGUGAAAGAUCAGGGCUCAACCCUGAGAGUGCAUCGGAAACUGGAGGCCUUGAGGACAGGAGAGGAAAGUGGAAUUCCACGUGUAGCGGUGAAAUGCGUAGAUAUGUGGAGGAACACCAGUGGCGAAGGCGACCUUCUGGACUGUAACUGACGCUGAGGCGCGAAAGCGUGGGGAGCAAAACAGGAUUAGAUACCCUGGUAGUCCACGCCGUAAACGAUGAGUGCUAGGUGUAGAGGGUAUCGACCCCCUUCUGUGCCGCAGUUAACACAAUAAGCACUCCCGCCUGGGGGAGUACGGCCGCAAGGUUGAAACUCAAAUGAAUUGACGGGGGUCAUAGCUGUUUUCCU